rnacentral:rRNA from 1 species
GCGCGAAAACUUUACAAUGCGGGCAACCGUGAUAAGGGAACCUCGAGUGCCUGCACCUGGAGAGAGGGCCGGGCAAGACCGGUGCUAGCCGCCGCGGUAAUACCGGCGGCUCGAGUGGUGGCCACUUUUAUUGGGCUUAAAGCGUUCGUAGCUGGGUUGUUAAGUCUCUUGGGAAAUCUGGCGGCUUAACCGUCAGGCUCUAAGGGAUACUGGCAAUCUUGGAACCGGGAGAGGUGAGGGGUACUUCGGGGGUAGGAGUGAAAUCCUGUAAUCCUCGAGGGACCACCUGUGGCGAAGGCGCCUCACCAGAAUGGCUUCGACAGUGAGGGACGAAAGCUGGGGGAGCAAACCGGAUUAGAUACCCGGGUAGUCCCAGCCGUAAACUAUGCGCGUUAGGUGUAUCGGUGACCACGAGUUACCGAGGUGCCGAAGGGAAACCGUGAAACGUGCCGCCUGGGAAGUACGGUCGCAAGGCUGAAACUUAAAGGAAUUGGCGGGGGAGCACACAACGGGUGGAGCCUGCGGUUUAAUUGGACUCAACGCCGGGAAGCUCACCGGAUAAGACAGGGAAUGAUUGCCGGGCUGAAGACUCUGCAUGACUAGCUGAGAAGAAGUGCAUGGCC